AUGUAAUUUAAGUUAAAAUAAGUGAGUUACGACCAAAUGUAUUGACAACACGUGUCUAUUGUGGUUUUGAGUAAACCCGGGGGGAAAUGGUCUAAAUAGAAAUCAUAAAAGACAGAACUAGAAGGUAAAACGGUGACUUUUUGUCAACAUUAAUUUUAUCUGGACAUAUAUAGCACAACCUUUAGCCAUACAGAACAUAAAAAUUGAAAAUGCAAGAUGACACAAAGGACUUCAAAUGAUUGUAUUCACCCCUAGAAAACAACAUACCAAAUCAUUUAAAAAAAGAAUUCCCUCAGUCAUUCAUAUGCGAUUCACAAAACUCGGAUGUUAGCACGGUUAGCUUAGCCUGUUUACUAGAAAAAUGACUUAACAUUCUACAUAUAUCCACGUAUAUGGUGUGUGAAAGCCAAUCCCUGAUACAGCUAACUCGAAGGAUACAAGAGGGUGAAUUUAGAGCUGGAUAAAGAAGUGUGGAGACACCUGGUCUGGUCAGAAUGAUAUGAGAGCUGCCAGUGAAGCAUUGUUCUGUUUGGUGAACCUGGGCUUGUUAAUUCAGAUCCGCCCCUGCUCCGUCAGCUUGGAUGGGAAGAGUCUGCCAACAUCAGAGUUCUGCAAAGAUGUUUUCAGGAUUUGAGGUCCGAGCUUUAGCUGAAUCACUGAACGUCACCUGAGUCACCCGAGAG